rnacentral:misc_RNA from 1 species
UCAAUGAUCAAACGACCAUUAGUUCACUACGGGCGCAUGCCCGAACCGAUCACGCCUUAUCAAAAAGCAGCCCAAGUUUGGGACGAACGCAUUGGAUCCGCCCGCGUGCAAGCCAAAAACUGGCGGCUGAUGGCGUUCGGGUGUCUCAUACUNUUCGGUUGUCUCAUACUGUCAGCCGGUCUCGCUGGUGGGUUGGUCUGGCAAUCAAGCCAUGNGCCCUGGGUGGUCGAAGUCGACCAUCUUGGCCAAGCCCAGAGGGUUGCGCCGGCCAACUUC